UAUAUGUGUAUGUGUGUGUAUAUGUGUGUAUAUGUGUAUAUAUAUAUAAACAUAAACACACACACACACACACACACGUAUA
rnacentral:miRNA from 1 species